AAUAAGUUUUUUUUUGCCGACAUAAAAUUUUCGGACCUCAAUUCUCGCAUACAUUUGUAUGAUAACUUAGAUUGCCUCUUGGAGAAUUCAUUCUUGAAGGAAGGUAUAUGCAGCACCUAUUUUGUUGAAGCAACGUUUUCCUUCCAAUUUCAACAAAGAGCAACCAGUGUUCUUCUCUUAUUUCAAAGAUUAAGUAUAGCUAUUUUUCUUCAUCGAUUUCAUGGUUAUGACAUUGAUUUUAUCCGGAUCUUAGCAAGUUGGAAAUAUACCUUGUGGUGAAUUAUCCUAAGAUUGAGGCGAAAAGAGCGAUGAGGCAAAAAGGAUUCACGAAUAGUCGCCGACAGGUACAGACGCACAGUUUGGUGAUCCACCAGUUUAGGACACCCUCUUCUGCUGUUUGGAGUGCUCCUCUUAUUCCGGAGCCUACAUUUUGGUAUAUAUACUUGUUUGAUGCAUAUGUAUAUAUUUGUUCAGGGGUACGGCGGGGCCCUGUUCUGCCAUAUGAUCCGUUUGGUCUGCUUAGAGGUGUGUAGACGUAUUUGUGGGUGUGUGCCUACUUCUGUACAGUUGUGUUUAUAUGAUUCUGUUCGUUAUGGCAGCCUUGUCGGCGUGCAUUUGUAUAUGUAUUUUGGGCCGUUGUGCCAUUUGAUAGCCUUGCCGGCUUUUUGAUAUAUGUGCAUAUGUUCGGCGAUGUGUAUUCCGCCGUCCCUUUUGAGUUUGAUAUGAUUU